CGCGGCCUAUCAGCUUGUUGGUGAGGUAAUGGCUCACCAAGGCAUCGACGGGUAGCUGGUCUGAGAGGAUGAUCAGCCACACUGGGACUGAGACACGGCCCAGACUCCUACGGGAGGCAGCAGUGGGGAAUCUUGCACAAUGGGCGAAAGCCUGAUGCAGCAACGCCGCGUGCGGGAAGAAGGCCCUAGGGUUGUAAACCGCUUUCAGCAGGGAAGAAGAUGACGGUACCUGUAGAAGAAGGUGCGGCCAACUACGUGCCAGCAGCCGCGGUGACACGUAGGCACCAAGCGUUGUCCGGAUUUAUUGAGCGUAAAGAGCUCGUAGGCGGUUCGGUAAGUCGGGUGUGAAAACUCUGGGCUCAACCCAGAGCCGCCACCCGAUACUGCUGUGACUUGAGUUCGGUAGGGGAGCGGGGAAUUCCUGGUGUAGCUGUGAAAUGCGCAGAUAUCAGGAGGAACACCAGUGGCGAAGGCGCCGCUCUGGGCCGAGACUGACGCUGAGGAGCGAAAGCGUGGGUAGCAAACAGGAUUAGAUACCCUGGUAGUCCACGCCGUAAACGUUGGGCACUAGGUGUGGGUCUCAACCAACGAGAUCCGCGCCGUCGCUAACGCAUUAAGUGCCCCGCCUGGGGGAGUACGG
rnacentral:rRNA from 1 species